rnacentral:rRNA from 1 species
GACGAACGCUUGCGACGUGCCUAAGAAAUGCAAGUCGAACGGGGGGAGCAAUCCCCUAGUGGCGAACGGUCGCGUAACACGUGGGCAACCUGCCUCGAAGCGGGGGACAACAAUCCGAAAGGAUUGCUAAUACCGCAUGUGAAUUGCUCCGGCAUCGGAGAGGAUUCAAAGCCGCAAGGCACUUCGAGAUGGGCCCGCGGCCUAUCAGCUUGUUGGUGGGGUAACGCCUACCAAGGCGACGACGGGUAGCUGGUCUGAGAGGACGAUCAGCCGGAUUGGGACUGAGAUACGGCCCAGACUCCUACGGGGGCAGCAAUUAGGAAUCUUGCGCAAUGGGCAAAGGCCUGACGCAGCGACGUCGCGUGAAGG